rnacentral:misc_RNA from 1 species
GGGCUGGUAAAAGCUCGUGGUUAUGCUCCUUAACAAAUUCAUGAAUUAUCCACUUGCCAUCUGGUCUUCUCUUCACAUGCAUACUUGCUUUGCAAUCUGUCUUUUUCACACUUGAUCGUCGACUAUUGCUACCAUCAGAUUCUGGUGUAAUUCCAUAUCUGGAACAUGCAAAUUUGGCAUCUAUAAAUUCUUUUGAUUUCUUUGAACGUCUACUAUUUUUUAUUGAAGUGGUGAACCCCAUUGAUUUGGCAUAUUCUUGAUAAAAUGAGUAUGCUACCUCAUGUGAUUCAAAUUCCACGCCACUGCAUGGCUCCAAUUCCGUGGCCUCUUCAAACAAUGCAAAAGCCCUUUUAGGGAAAUCAACAACCCCACAAUCUCCAUUUUGUGCCUCAUCCACAACGUCAACCAUAUUUUCACCCCCUACAUCACCAACAGGCGCAUUUUCUUGAAGACUGACCAUAUCAUGAACUGCAUUCUGAUGCCUGCCUGUCAUUAUUAUCAUCUACUUCCAUGAAU